UACAGAGACUGCAAGCGUGAUUCGGAUUCACUGGGCGUAAAGGGUGCGCAGGCGGCCAAGUGUGUGAGGCGUGAAAGCCCGGGGCUUAACCCCGGAAUUGCGCCUCAAACUACAUGGCUAGAGCAUUGGAGAGGGUAGCAGAAUUCAUGGUGUAGCAGUGAAAUGCGUAGAUAUCAUGAGGAAUACCAGAGGCGAAGGCGGCUACCUGGACCAGCACUGACACUGAGGCACGAAAGCGUGGGGAGCAAACAGG
rnacentral:rRNA from 1 species